UUGAACGCUGGCGGCAGGCCUAACACAUGCAAGUCGAGCGCGAAAGUCCUUCGGGGCAAGUAGAGCGGCGGACGGGUGAGUAAUGCUUGGGAAUCUACCUAGUAGUGGGGGAUAACGUGUGGAAACGCACGCUAAUACCGCGUACGUCCUACGGGAGAAAGCAGGGGAUCUUCGGACCUUGUGCUAUUGGAUGAGCCCAAGUCGGAUUAGCUAGUUGGUGGGGUAAUGGCUCACCAAGGCGACGAUCCGUAGCUGGUCUGAGAGGAUGAUCAGCCACACUGGGACUGAGACACGGCCCAGACUCCUACGGGAGGCAGCAGUGGGGAAUAUUGGACAAUGGGCGAAAGCCUGAUCCAGCCAUGCCGCGUGUGUGAAGAAGGCUCUAGGGUUGUAAAGCACUUUCAGUAGGGAGGAACGGUUGUUGAUUAAUACUCACCAAUUUUGACGUUACCUACAGAAGAAGCACCGGCAAACUCCGUGCCAGCAGCCGCGGUAAUACGGAGGGUGCGAGCGUUAAUCGGAAUUACUGGGCGUAAAGCGCGCGUAGGUGGUUUGAUAAGCUAGCUGUGAAAGCCCUGGGCUCAACCUGGGAACUGCAGUUAGAACUGUCUGGCUAGAGUACAGUAGAGGGUGGCGGAAUUUCCUGUGUAGCGGUGAAAUGCGUAGAUAUAGGAAGGAACAUCAGUGGCGAAGGCGGCCACCUGGACUGAUACUGA
rnacentral:rRNA from 1 species